rnacentral:rRNA from 1 species
GCCAGUGGUCAUAUCACCCUGCAACUCACUCACAAUUGGUAACCCACUGAAGGUAAGUGAGCUUGGUCAGUACCUGGAUGGGAGACCUCCUGGGAAAAACUAAGGUUGCUGCUGGAA